GACGAACGCUGGCGGCGUGCCUAAUACAUGCAAGUCGAACGCAGUGGGGCCGGGGAAGUAACACGUGGGUAACCUCCCAUCAGAGGGGAUAACACUUGGAAACAGGUGCUAAACCGAUACUGAUGGAUGGACCCGCGGUGCAUUAGCUAGUGGGUGAGGUAACGGCUCACCAAGGCCACGAUGCAUAGCCGGCCUGAGAGGGUGAUCAGCCACACGGGGACUGAGACACGGCCCAGACUCCUACGGGAGGCAGCAGUAGGGAAUAUUCGGCAAUGGACGAAAGUCUGACCCAGCCACGCCGCGUGAGUGAAGAAGGUUUUCGGAUCGUAAAGCUCUUUUGUUAGAGAAGCGUUAUCUAAACAGAAAGCAACGGCUAACUACGUGCCAGCAGCCGCGGUAAUAC
rnacentral:rRNA from 1 species